GGCCAACAUGGUGAAAUCCCGUCUCUACUAAAAAUACAAAAAUUACCUGGGCGUGGUGGUGCACACGCCUGUAGUCCUAGCUACUUGGGAGGCUGAGACAGAAUUGCUUGAACCCGGGAGAUGGAGGCUGCAGUGGGCCGAGAUUGCACCACUGCACUCCAGCCUGGGUGACACAGAGACUCUGUCUCAAAAAAAAAAAAGAGGUCAUAGGGGCUGGGCAUAGUGGCUCUCACCUAUAAUCCUAGCAAAUCCUAGCACUUUGGGAGGCCGAGGUAGGAGGAUUGCCUGAGCCAAGGGGUUCAAGACCAGCCUGAGCAACAUAAAAUACAAAACAUACAAAAAUUAGCUAGGUGUGGUGGUGUGCACCUGUGGUCCCAGCUACUCAGGAGGCUGAGGUGGGAGGAUCACUUGAGCCUGGGAGGUCAAGGCUGCAGUGAGCUGUGAUUGCACCACUGCAUUCCAGCUUGGGUGACAGAGCAAGACCCUGUCUCAAAAAAGAAAAAAAAAGAAAAAAGAAAAUACUUAUAUUGGAUAUACUAUGUGCCAGACACGAUUCCAAGCCCCUGAUACAUUCUCUAGAUUUUACAGAUGAGGAAAGGAGAUCCAGAGACGUUAAAUACUUGCCCAAGGUCACACAGAAAGUACAACACUGGGAUUUGAACAAGGUUUUGGUUGGGCAUCUUUUCCUGUGGGAGCUCAGAAAUAUCUGUUGUCUAGCCCUUUCUCAGCCUCCCAUCCUUCUCGGUUCCUUACCUAUGUCACAGUUGACUUUGAGCUAAAGUCAUCUCAGGGCGGCUAAGUGCCUAUGUGAGCUGGCGUCAUUUCUCACUGUUUUUCCUUCCAAAUACCUCCAGGAAAAAAAAGCAAGUCCUUUUCGGUCCAAGACAUUAAAAAAGCCAGGCACAGUGGCUCAUGCCGUAAUCCCAACACUUUGGGAGGCUGAGGCAGGAGGAUUGCUUGAGCCCGGGAGUUGGAGACCAGCCUGGACAUGUUAACAUAGCAAGACCCCUCUACAGAAAAUGUUAAAAAUGAGCUGGGUGUGGUGGCGCAUACCUGUAGUCCCAGUUACUCAGGAGGCUGAGGCAGGAGGAUUGCUUGAGCCUAGGAGGUUGAGGCUGCAGUGAGUCAUGAUCACACCACUGGACUCCAGCCUGGGCUACAGAUCAAGACCCUGUCCCAGGAGAAAAAAAAGGUCCAGGCACAGUGGCUCAUGCCUGUAAUUCCAGUACUUUGGGAGGCCGAAGCAGGCAGAUCACGAGGUCAGGAGAUCAAGACCAUUCUGGCUAACACAGUGAAACCCCGUCUCUACUAAAAAUACAGAAAAUUAGCUGGGUGUGGUGGCACGCGCCUGUGAUCACAGCUACUCGGGAGGCUGAGGUAGGAGAAUCACUUGAACCCGGGAGGUGGAGGUUGCAGUUAGCCGAGAUCAUGCCAUUGCACUCCAGCCUGGGAGAUAGAGCAAGACUCCGUCUCAAAAAAAAAAAAAGAAAAGAAAAGAAAAAA
rnacentral:lncRNA from 1 species